rnacentral:rRNA from 1 species
UGCGUAGGCGGCUUUGCAAGUCAGAUGUGAAAUCUAUGGGCUCAACCCAUAAACUGCAUUUGAAACUGUAGAGCUUGAGUGAAGUAGAGGCAGGCGGAAUUCCCCGUGUAGCGGUGAAAUGCGUAGAGAUGGGGAGGAACACCAGUGGCGAAGGCGGCCUGCUGGGCUUUAACUGACGCUGAGGCACGAAAGGCGUGGUAAGCAAACA